rnacentral:lncRNA from 1 species
AUGAAGUGAGAAUUUUCUCUGAUCAAAGGGAAGAAAACAAAGAGAAAAGUGUAAGGGAUAAGAAAUUCAUUAUGUUUUAGGAUUUGAAUUUUAUCAUUUUCACUCCUUAGACUCUAUUUUGUUCGUGUUUCUCCAGAUUUAGUGGUACCUUUCCUUAUUUUCUUUUUAAGAAGAGGGGUGGACAGUUCCUUUUUUGAGCUGCCGUCCUUUCCGGAUUUCUGAUCUGGAUGAUCAAACUGGCUUUUUUUUUUUUUUUUUUGAUUUGUUGUACAUUUCUUUGGGUAUCUGGUGAUUACGUUGACGAGGGAAAUGCUGAUGCAGGAACCUUGAAGACUUCGAUUUUGGCUUUCUAUGGGAAUAUUAGCUUUGGGCGCGAUUUUGUAUUCCCAAAUUGCACCGAUACACCAAUAGCCACCGCUUCCAUGACUAGGCCCUACGGUGUCUCUUCUUCGAAUCUACUUCUGUCGAUGGACUACACUCACCAGCAGCCUCUUUUCUCUGUUUUUAUUUUUUGCAUGCGUGUCGUCUUUAUUAUCUGGCCACCCUUGAUCGUUGGAGUUGUUGUUCUAAUUUGGAUGGUGUUGGUAAGAAACCUUCUAUUCAGUUGUAUUGUUUAAUUACCGAUUUAAUUUAUUUAGUUGUAUUUUGAUUGAACUUCUCUUGGUUUAUUUGAUUUAUUUUUUUAUUUUAGACUAGUUGGGACUUUCG